UACGGGGGGAGCAAGCGUUGUUCGGAUUUACUGGGCGUAAAGGGCGCGUAGGCGGCGCGACAAGUCACUUGUGAAAUCUCUGGGCUCAACCCAGAACGGUCAAGUGAUACUGUCGUGCUAGAGUGCGGAAGGGGCAACUGGAAUUCUUGGUGUAGCGGUGAAAUGCGUAGAUAUCAAGAGGAACACCUGCGGCGAAGGCGGGUUGCUGGGCCGACACUGACGCUGGAGGCGCGAAAGCUAGGGGAGCGAACGGG
rnacentral:rRNA from 1 species